GGAGGRUCAAGCGUUAUCCGGAUUCAUUGGGUUUAAAGGGUGCGUAGGCGGCCUGGUGAGUCAGGGGUGAAAUACGCUAGCUUAACUAUGGCAGUGCCGUUGAUACUGUUGGUCUUGAAUGUAGUGGAGGUAGGCGGAAUGUGUCAAGUAGCGGUGAAAUGCAUAGAUAUGUCACAGAACACCAAUUGCGAAGGCAGCUUGCUACGGUAUUAUUGACGCUGAGGCACGAAAGCGUGGGGAUCAAACAGGAUUAGAUACCCUGGUAGUCCACGCCCUAAACGAUGAACACUCGACGUAGGCGAUACACGGUCAGUGUCAAAGCGAAAGCGUUAAGUGUUCCACCUGGGGAGUACGCCCGCAAGGGUG
rnacentral:rRNA from 1 species